GUGAACACAGAACAAGCAGGAUUCCGCGCUUGAGAGUCGACUUUAGGGAUUCCCGGGGAGGCUUGCAGCACUCGAGCCUUGAAGGCUGUUAACUUCACCUCGAAUCGCAAAAUUGCCCAUGAGCGUGAGAGGACUCGGGAGUUCACCGUGAGCCGCCUCAUCCCCAGAAUCAAAAGUAAUUGGACACGUGGAAGCAUCUGACAGUGGAAUAUUGUCAUAUGAUUCGCCAUCAGUGAUGACCACCAACACUCUGUUAACAUUUUCUCUGGCCCCUGCUUUACUGAUACAUUCAGGAUACUCACACAACUUUGUUGAUAGCAGAGGUUGUGUAGGUCCCACCACCCAUUUUUGUGAUUCAAGUUUCUAACAAUCAAAUUUGCAAAACCAGCAUGAAAGUCUUUAUUAAAUGGCUGUUUGUUAUAAACUAAACUUUAAUAAUGAGCCCCAUAAGUCCAGAAGGACGUUUUGCUUCAGUGGAAUGGCCUCUUCUAGAAUGACUCGACUCCAUCCACAGGGCCUGAGGGCUUACUGAACAACUUGAUGAGGAUGAAAUUGUAUAGACCAUCAGAGUCAUCAUCAAAACACAAAAUAAGAAAAUAUCAUUUGGAAAACAUGUCCAGUACAAUAAAAGGGACAUUUAGUACUGGUGCCAAUACCUUAAUAUCAUGCAUCAACAGGCAUGCUGUGGAAGCAGAGGCAUGGCCAGGAACACUAUAAUCCAACGGCCGGGCAUUUGCAGCAAUGUUGGCUAGUGGUGUGCAGCAUGUCAUGAAUGGCAAUUGGUGAAUCCAUCAGCCACCCCAAAAGUGCCACUACACCCAUUACCGGUAAUCAAGGUCUCUUUAGAGCAGUUGACAUGGGGAUAUCAGUUUGUGUUAAUGCUCGUGGAUUAUGCAACAUAAUAUGACUGCCCAGUGGAUUAUGCAAUAAUAUGAAUGCCCAGCUAUGAGAAAUCACACCAGGAGAUAAAGUUCUCUUUUUACUACCCACAUCAAACUUCAUGCUUUCAUGACCUCUAGACUGGACUAUUGUAAUGCGUUACUAGGUGGCUGUCCUGCAUCUUUAAUAAAUAGGCUACAGUUAGUCCAAAAUACAGCUGCCAGAGUUCUCACUAGGACAAGAAAGUAUGACCAUAUAACCCCAAUUUUAUCAUCUCUACACUGGCUACCUGUUAAGUUUAGAAUUGAUUACAAGCUACUGCUACUUACAUACAAGGCUCUUAAUGGUUUAGCUCCCAUGUAUCUAACCAGUCUUCUAACACAUAGAGAUAGUCCUUCGGGCUAUCUCUGAUCACAAAGCUCCGGACUCCUGGUAGUUCCCAGAAUAUCUAAGUCCACUAAAGGUGGUAGAGUGUUCUGUUAUUUAGCUCCCAAACUUUGGAACAGUCUUCCUGAUAGUGUUCGGAGCUCAGACACACUUUCCCAGUUCAAAUGCAGAUUACUCAUCUCUUUAGUCAGGCAUACACAUAAUACAUCCCAUAAUAUUGUGCACUAUUACAUUAGACUUGCACAUUUUUUAUGAACAGCAGACAUGUUAAUCCCUCUACACUGCUUCUCUCUUUCUACCCAUCCCGAGGCAUCCAGACAUUGUACCAGCUCCGAUCGUCUUCCGUGCGAUGAAGAUUUUGAGAUGAGGCCGACUCUGUGCGAAUCCUGAGACAUCUACAGAUCUACCAGCUCCAGUUGGACUCUGUGAUCCUAAAGAGGAGAUCUGAACUCCAUCCCCAGCAGCUCAUGGACAGAAUCCUCUGGAUCAUGGGCAGGAGCACCCCACAUUGACAAGACCACAGAUACACCCUAGACCUAAGAUCAAAAUGGGGUGCAACAGUUCCUGGGGCUGGCUGGCUAUUAUACUUCAUAUCAUAUGUUCAUACCUAACUAUUUGGAGGUCACAAGCCCACUGACUGAUCUAGCUAAAAAGGAAGCACCAGACAUGAUCCAGUGGAUAGAGCCAUGUCAGCAGACUUUCACUAAGACUGAACAGACAUGGCUGCUGGCCAUGUUGUCCCAGGUGGUGGAGGGGAGGAGUACCCUGUGCUGUAUAUUAGUCACAAACUAUUGGUGAGGGAAACUAAACACAGCAACAGAGAAGGAGUGCCUGGCCAUCAAGUAGGUUGUCCUUACUCUCCUUCACCCUCUGUUUGGACCACCCCUUGCUCCAGUGGCUCCAACACAUGAAGGAUGCCAACAUGAGGAUCGUUGGUAUCUAUCUAUACAGCCUUUUAACUUCCAGUUCCACAGGCCCAGUGCACAUCCCAGACCAUUAUGAAUCCCACAGUUAGACAUGAGCAUAAAUCCAUCCAAAUCCAUCCAGGAAAGAUCAUAUGCCAAGAGUUUCUGAAUGGUAGCUUUGACAUUGAUUCUAGCUUUGAAGGUUGUGUGUCUGUGUGACACUGUGUUUUUUUUCAGUAAUACAUAAUACGUUUGUUUAUAUUCCUGAAGCUUUUAUCCAAAGUGAGUAACAUUUGAGACUUACAUACAUAAAGGCAGACGCCCUUAUCUACAACAACAGAAGAAUAAUGACAAUUGUAUUUGGCCUUUUUAAAAUCUCACUAUGUUACUAAUAACCUAAUAAUAUAACUAACCAGUGCAUCUGUGUUUGUAUUUUAAUCUAAGGCCCUUAUUUUGCCUACUCACUGUAUAUUCACUUUCUCUCACACUAACACACAAACUCGUAUAUAUCUUCCAUUAAGAAAUUUCUUUUCUGCCUCUGUUUCACAUGAGACAAAUAUAUUUACUCUAAUGUACAUACAAAUGCCCUUUACACUUAAAAGUAAAGUUUUUUAGUUCAAGGUGCAUUCAUGUCACUUUCAUUAAUAACUUAAAUCUUCACCUCAAAAUCGAACUGGUAUGAAAAGUACAAACAAUUAAAAAGCAUAUCGUACAUCGUCUCUUCCGGAUAAGAUGACCUCUAACGCUUUAAAAACGCUUUAUUAAUAACGCUUUAUUAAUAAACACUUCAAAACAUUUGAGUGUAACAGUUAAGCAGGAAUUUUAAAAUGAAGGUUAAAGUGUACGCUUAAUGGACACCUUAUUAAACCCUUCUAUUCCCAUAGAAUGGUCUGUGACAAUUAGCCUGUUUGACUUCCUAAUUGUCCUUAAUGUGGCUGUUAAUACAUAAGACCUGCAAUAGUGAUAGUAGAGAUCAUAAUGGACAAGAAUUUGAAUACAUUUAUUCGAAAUAGAGUUGAUAGAAGAUAGAAGUGAUGAAGACACCUAGUCUGAUCUUACCAGAAAUCAGGAAAAUGUACAAUGCAAGAUUCCAGUCCAUAUUCUAUCCUGUCAUCAGAUUCAGAAUGACUGGGUAGGUGAAAAGAGUAAAGUUGAGGAAGUAGAAACAGAAGAAGUGUUUUGAAAAUGUAUUGCACACUCGAUGUAGUAAGCCUUGCACACCACUGUGGGAGUGGCAUAAAUUGCUUAGAGGAAAUCAGUGCACAGAUGGCUGUGAGGGACCUCCUAUCCCACCAAAGGGCGAAGUCAGCUGCAGGCCAGACAGCUUGUGGGUAUACGGAAAGCAGAGGCGUUUGUGAAUGGAAGGCAGAGUCAACCAGAACAACUGUUAGAGUCCACACACCUGUGAUUAAUCACACUAAUGAUUUGCUCUUUCUUUCGGUGAACUCGGGCAAAAAGAGAAUAACAGAAAAAAGAGGGAAGACAAAAUAGAGCAAAAGAGAGAGAGGAAAAACGUGCUGCUGAGUUUUGUGUGUGAUGAGCGUGUGUGUGCUCCGUAAAACACUGAACCUGAAAGCAAAAUAAAGCUAUUUUGGUUGAAUACUUGGUUGAAUACUGUGGUGGUGGUGUGCUGUGGCCCAACAGGAAAAGGAGCUGCAAUUCCCAGCAGAUUAUUUUCCAAUAACAGCAUGUCCUGGAAUGUUAUAUUCCACAUGUACUACUGCAAAACUCAAAUAAUUCUAAAAAUAACACAUCACAGUUUUUAGCCAUUUGGACAUUAUGCUAAACGUUGUGUAAUAUUUUGUGAAACAAGUUAGUUCCUCAACACUUGGUAAUCUUGGUAAUCUGAGGUAGUUCCCUCACAAGCUUCUCUUUUCUCUCUCUCCUUCUCAAAGCUACUGUAAUAAGACCAACACUUGCUGCUUAACUUGUUGACAGUUUUCUGUUAUGAAGACUCCUAUAGAAACAGAUUUACCUCAAAACAAUGAGACCAACUGGUGCAAAGAAAUCAUUGGUCUAAAUAAAUUUCACAAGAUGGCAUCCCAGACCAUUAUGAAUCCCACAAUUAGAAAUGAGCAUAAAUCCAUCCAGAUGCAGGAAAGAUCAUAUACAAAGUGUUUCUGAAUGGUAGCUUUGACAUUGAUUCUAGUUUUGAAGGUCAUAACAUGAAAGUAUUUUUUUUGUGUGUGUGUGACACUUUUUUGUGUUUUUUUCAGUAAUACAUUAUACAUUUGUUUAUGUUCCUGAAGCUUUUAUCCAAAGUGAGUAACAUUUGAGACAUUUAGAUGCAUAAAGGCAGACAUCCAAUUAAACACUUAUCCAUUCAUGUCACUUUCAUCAAUAACUUAAAUCACCUCAAAAUCUAACUGGUAUGAAAAGUACAAACAAUUAAAAAACAUCUUGUACAUGAUCUCUUCUGGAUAAGAUGACAAAGCUAAUGCUUUAUUAAUAAACACUUCAAAACAUUUGAGUGUAACAGUUAAGCAGGAAUUUUAAAAUGAAGUUUAAAGUGUAUACUUAAUGGACACCUUACAGUAUUAAACACUCCUAUUCUCAUAGCAGUGUGUCCUUCUGGUCAGUACUCUGACACCUUAACCACUAGGCUACCACAUCCCAUGUUACUUUCUACUUUACAAUCUGAUUUAAUAAGCCACAUCUGAUCAGGUAACAAUGAACAAUGUCUACACCACACAAAUAAUUCAGUGCAUCUGAUUAUCUCAAAUACAUGAAAAAAAUUAAUCUAAUCUAUAUAUAAUGUUCGGCAAAGAAAGCUCAGACGUGAAAACUAUUCUAUAUUCUUCAUCUGUACUCUGUGCCUGGAAUUGUGUUGUCAUUGUUAUUGGAGGAUCUCAUGCAAAGAGAUAGAAUAUAAUUGGAUUUUAGAGAUUUUUAAAGUCAUAGAAGCGCUACACAAUUCAUCACCGAGAAUAUUAAUCGUGCUAGAAUCAAUCAGAAUGUAAACAGUUGUGUGUCCAUGCAAUGCUAAUCUUUGUCACAAAGCUUACAGUGUGUGGUGCAAUAAGAAUAAUAAUCCAUGCUGAUAAAACCAGAAUCAGCAAAUUAUUCACUCUCCUUAAUGUGGCUGUUAAUACCUGCAGUAGUGAUAGAAGAGAUCAAAAUGGACAUG